rnacentral:tRNA from 1 species
GAGGGUAGAGCCCAGUGGUAGAACACAUGCUUAGCAUGCACGAGGUCCUGGGUUCAAUCCCCAGUACCUCCA